AACGUGCUCCGGGGUCGGUGAGAAUCCGAACCGGCGGUGACAGUCCGCGAGCCGCGACAUCCGUGCCACAUCGGCACCGUCGCGGUCGACCCGGUGGGAUUCCGGGACCGACGGUGAUGAGGCGCUCAGGCGUCUCUAGUCCGGAUGGGAGGAGGCACGCG
rnacentral:ncRNA from 1 species